AAAACAUGUCCAGAGGGCAUUGCCUGGUCAGUAGCUUGAACCUCUCCCAAGCUUCAUAAAGGGUCUCACCAUCCUUCUGUCAGAUGGUCUUAACCUCCACCCUUAACUU